rnacentral:lncRNA from 1 species
AAUAAAGCAGCUUGUAGAGUUUCUCGUGAAGGGAGUGAGAAUAUGGUUCUACAGGUUUUGCCAUCACAAGAGUUCAUCACCAUGUCUCCAAGGUGGUAGUCCACGGAUGAAGAAUGAGUUGCACAAACCAACAGAAAGCUAUACAAAAUUACGGCAUCACUGUCACACUGUAUUCGACUUUUUAUUGUGAAAGUUGCAUCAGGGGCAAGGCCAUCACGGCACCAAAAACAGAGACGAUAACCACCAUCAGCCAAAAGGGCACUCGCUUCUUCAGCUUAUUUUCGCCGUGGACCUCGGCCAUUGGUCUUCUUAUAUUGUUCACGGGCAAAUUUUUACAUGAUCCCUCUUACCUUUUCUUUUUACAUAAAAAAUAAGAAUACAUAAUAAAUCUAAGGCGUUAAUUUCAUUAAGUAGUGGGUCUAAGUAAAUCUUGUCUUCAUACCUCGCAUGUGAAAAGAAAAGAUAAGAGCGACCAUAUUAAAAUUGCUCUCACUGUAGCUGCCGCUUGCUGGACAGGGGCAGGGUUCUCCUCGGGCUGUGGUUCCGAGCCAGUUUGCUCCUUUUCUUGUUCUUGGUUGUACUUCUCCACAUAUUCAGGAAAUAAUUUCCUGAAGUGCGGGCAACUUUUGCUGCGGAACAAGAGCAGUGUUGAUUUAUACCUCAUAGUUUGGAACAAGGAAUCUCUCGCUCUCAUGUCAGAAGGCGUAGUCAAGAGAAAAAUAUAUAAUAGCCAUUCAUUUCCCGCAUCGUGAUUCGUGUAAAUACAUUUCUUUUUUUUUAUUCUCCCACAUAGAAUAUAUCUUGAAGUUCAAACCUAUGCAGCGUGGCAAAGCUUUCUAAGUAGAAUCUAGGAUAAAUCUUUUCAAUUUUUUUGUCAAACAUAAAUAUACAAAAAUAUGUUUUAUUUGAUUAAAAAAUAAUGUUUUUAGUAUUUAUGUCGGACAAAAAAUUCCGAAAGGUUUAUCCUAGAUUUUAGCUAGAAAGCUUUGCCACGCCGGAUAGGUUUGAACUUCAAGAUAUGUUCUAUGUGGGAGAAUUAAAAAAGAGAAAAUUCCAUAUAGAAAGUUAGUUGUGUCGCACGGAACUUAAAGCGAUAUUAAAGAGUUAGGAUAGGAGGGCCGAGGUGCAAGUGCUCUAAAAAAUCCAGGUCCAUAGUCAAGACAUGACACAAGAAUAAUGACCACGUCGUCUCCGUCGCCACCAAACGCCUCUCAUGGUGCCCUCCUCCAGGCCCAGCCCAGCCCAGCUGAGAGGCGCUCCAGUACCUCCCGCGUCAGCCGCUGCAUGUGGCCGCGCCAAAUCCUAUUUGGCGCCUUAGGCCCUGUUUGGUUCGGCUGUGGAUUUCUAAAAGUAGCUGUGAAAAAUCUACUGUGGAAAAACACUGUGGAAAAUCUGAUGUGAAAAAGAUGUAGGUCAUUUGGCAAACCAGCCGAUACAGCUUUUUUAGAUUUUGGCCCGCAGCGGAAUCAGAUUUUGGAAAGCACGUCCUGAGCUGCUUCCGCUUUUGGUUCAGAUUUUGGCAACGGAUUUCUGAAAUCGGAUUCUACUGGGUUCGCCCUUUGGUUCAGAUUCUGCUGCGCGGCAGCAGAAUCCGUCAAUAAAAGUUGAACCAAACAGGGCCUUAAGCGCCCGAUUUAGUUCGUUUUGCAAUCGGGCACAUACCCCCUGCCUUCCUUCGCUAUUAACAGGCCCGGCCCAUCCCCCCCUUUGGUUAUAUGUUUAUAAGGCAAAAAAGGGUGGGACCUUCAACAUCGAGGAACGAUGCAAUUACCACUGCGCCAGCUCUCCGACUGUAAUCUUUUACAUCUUUUUCCUGCCUUUCUUCUUCCAUCUUUCUUUUUCCCUUUUUCCAAAGUUUAUUUUUCAAAUUCGAGAAUUUUUCUUUUUCUUCAUGUUUUUUUCCGCAAAAUGGAUGAACAUUUUUUGUUCAAAUUCAAUGAUCUUUUUCCAUGUUAGAUGAACUUUUUUCAAAGUCAAUGAACUUUUUUUCGAAUUUGAUGAACUUUUUUCAAAUCCGAUGAACUUUUUUUUAGAAUUUGAUGAACUUUUUUCAAAUCUGAUGAACUUUUUUUCCAAUCUGGUGAACUUUUUUGAAAUUUGAUGAACUUUUUUCAAAGUCGAUGAACUUUUUUUUCGAAUUUGAUGAACUUUUUUAGAAUUCGAUGAAAUUUUUUCAAAUUCGAUGAACUUUUUUCAAAUCUGAUGAACUUUUUUUAAUUCUGAUGAACUUUUUUGAAAUUCGAUGAAUUUUUUCAAAAUUGAUGAACUUUUUUCAAUUUUUUUAAAAAUUCGAUGAACUUUUUUCAAAAUCGAUGAACUAUUUUUCUAAAAACUGUAGUACAUACUUUAGUAAACCGGUUGGUUUUUCUAAGAAAAUCAGCACCUAAUGUAGCAGUUUUUGGCGAGAGAAAAAAAAUGAUCGAGCUGGGACCAGCGAUCAAGCGGGAGCCAACGAAAGGGAAGCGAAGAGGGAGCGAUGGUUUAAUGGGCCAGUCCAGAAGGAGGCGCGCGCGGGCGCCACGAUCGCUUGCUAGCGCUGAAGGCGCUGACGAGGAAGACUCUGUGGCCGCAGCACGCCUCGUUGGCCUCCCUGUACCCCGUGGGGUUCUCCGGCCAGUCGCCGUGGUUCACGAGCUAUGCCACAAGCUCAUUUGUGGAAAACAAUUUGGUGCGUACCGAUUGAUGACAUGGAUAUCUCAUACAUCUUUUUUUUUAGCUGGGAAUUGUCGCCUUUAUUUAAGUCUCAGACAUCUCUGAGUUCAGUAUAGAGCUGAUGCAAUCCGGUGGCACUCUAAGCCACGUCCUACACAGCUUCUUCGCGCGCCCUUCCCUUGUGAGACAAUCGGCAACAUUAUUUGCCGAACAUUGCGUCCAGGUUACCCUGAACUCUCUGGAUUUAAGCAAACCCUUGAUCUCCUCCACCAUGAGCCCAUAUGAGGACAGGUCCCUCUCCAGAUCGCUGAGCUUGUCCGCCACCACGUUCUUCAGAGUCUGUCUCCGGGAUCAGGCACGGGACAUCCAUAUCCGCCGGUAGCUCCGCCAGAGAGUUACUCAAAUGUUUUCAUAGGAGAAGUGUAAAUACGGUUAUUUGCUCAAUUAAUGCAAGAUUUGCGAGGGCCCAGAAUUUUUUUGGAGGCGCUGCAGGAUUUGAGAGGUGCGUGUUUGUAGCACCCAGCUCCCAUACGAAUCAGCUUUAUCGCUCGCCAGUCUCGCCCAGGGGCACCCGACAAUUUUUUUUUUGGCAGUGGCAUAACCUUAGUCCUAGGAUCAAAUACCACCCGGACAAAUCGAUUGGGAUUUUGAUCCCGGUAAUCAUUAGCGGUCAUAUGGGUGGUUACAUUACUGUGCUCAAAGUAUUCAUGAGGCUGGUUAUAAUGAGGAGUAUCAUAUAGUAGUAUCAUGCAUAUGAUACUAGUGUAUGAUGCUAUCUCUCUAAUGCAUAGUAUUAUAUAUUAGUAUCAUGUAGCACUCUAUGUAUUGUCAUGCAUGACACAAAGUAGCAUAGCAAUUAUUAUAAUACAAUAUCAUGAUAUGAUACUUCAUCCUCUUUUUCUUCAUUUAAUGCUAUGACAUCUUAUUAAAAUUGACUAGUUGGCAUGCAUGAUACUAGCUAUAAUACUAUCAUUACGACUAGUCUAAUGCAUCUCAUUCCUAGCUAUAAAUGUGUGGGAUCGAUGGAACAACACAAGAUACUUCGAGUGUCUCAUUCCUAACUCGAUGUCUUGUUGUGUAAGAGGAAGGUCGUUUCGUCACAAUAUAUAGCGUAGAGUCGGAAGUGGUAGGUGAGAUGUAAUAUGAAAUGCAGCUUAAAAAUAAAAGAUGUACAUGCAUGAGAUUCAAGAUGAUUCUUGUUACUAGUGCCCUUUUGCUCACAUGCAUGAAGAAUAGAGGCACUGAAUAAUUAAUUGGUUUACUGAUCUUCAAAAACACACAAUUAAAUAUUUAAUAACCUUUCAAAUGUAAGAUUCAUAAGUACAGUGAUAACAAUUCACUAUGAAUUUGGAAACCAAUAUUGCAAGCAACAUAAGGCAUAUAUCUCACAAAUCCACUAGUAGCAUGGCUUUGGUCACGGGGCAAUAUUCAUAUUAGUCCCGGUUCAGUCACGAACCGGGACUAAUAUGAGCAUUGGUCCCAGUUCGCGCGGCUAAGGCUUUAGUCCCGGUUCACCUGAGCCCUUUAGUCCCGGUUUGAGACACGAACCGAGACUAAAGGGUGUGAUGCCCUUUAGUCCCGGUUUGUGUCUCAAACCGGGACUAAAGAUUAGACCUUUAGUCCCGGUUUGCGACACGAACCGGGACUAAAGGGUGCGAUGCCCUUUAGUCCCGGUUUGUGUCUUAAACCGGGACUAAAGAUCCCAUUUUCAAACUCUACCCCUCCCCCCCCCGGUGGAUCGCCUUUUUUGUUUUAAAAAAAUCAAAAGAAAAUGAUAAAAACUUCAAAAAAUAAAAUCCUUCGAGAGGUAGUUAUAUUACUACAUCUACUAGUUAGGAAAAUUUUAAAACUUAAAUUUCGACAUGUUUUGCAAAAAAUGUAGGGAAAUUGUAAAACGGCUAUAACUUUUGCAUACGAUGUCGGAAAAAAACGUAUAAUAUAUCAAAAUAUUCGGAACGAAAAUCCGCAUCCGAUGGAGACCGCCUAAGGCCUGUUUGCAAAUUUUUAGAAUCCUCAAAUUCUAAAAGGAAAAAAAUUAUGCUCAAAUUUUAGUUUUUUUUAAUUUUUGUUAAAUCUGGUCAAACUAUGGUCAAACUACUUAUUCAAGAAGUAUUAGUGUUAGUAAAUAAUUAUUCAAGAAUAUUAGUGUUACUAAAUAAUUAUUUCAGUUUUUUUGAAUUUUGGUCAACUAUGGUCAAACUGUGGUCAAACUACUUAUUCAAGAAAUAUUAGUGUUACUAAAUAAUUAUUGAUUUUUAGAACAAUAGUUUCAAACUCAAACAGUGAAAUGUGUGACUUCAUGCUCAAGCUAAAUUCCUGAGGGUUAAUAGGAUUGACAUCUUACUAUUGUUAGGAAAACAACAAGUGCAGACUUGGAAACGAGGGAGAAUAGAACCCGGAAGUUAAGCAUGCUCAGGCUGGAGUAGUGAGAGGAUGGGUGACCGUUCGGGAAGUUAGAUGAUUUGGAAUGAUGAGGGGUGAUUAGAGAUUAAAGGUUAAAUUGAGCAGUGAUGAGGGGUGAUUAAAGAUUAGAGGUUAAAAUAAUUCAGAAAUUUGAAAUUCAAAAAAAAUAAAAAAAAUAAAAAAAAUAAAAAAAAUAAAAAAAAUCAUAAAAUUUCCUUUAAUACCGGUUGGUGUUACCAACCGGGACUAAAGGUGGACCUCCAGGCAGUGGCCACGUGGAGGGCCUUUAGUCCCGGUUCCAGUUAGAAUCGAGACUAAAGGGGGAGGCUUUAGUACCGACCCUUUAGUCCCGGUUCCAGAACCGGGACUAAAGGCCCCUUAUGAACCGGGACUAAAAGCCCUUUUUCUACUAGUGAUCUAUGAGCAAAAUGAUUGUAAAUUUUGUGCAACAUAAAUAAAAAUGGCCAUAUGUAGUCUGGAUUAUGUUUGAUAUCAUAUUUGGGUUUUCCAGAGUACUUUUCCUACUAAUAAAAAAUCAUGCAUACAUCUCUUCAUGCAACAUAAAAAAUAAAUACGGGGUGUGUGUGGGUGAGUGGGGGGGGGGGUUAUUAAAUUGAAUAUAAAUUUACAAAUCAACAUGGCAAGAAGCAUAAUCAGAGAAAAUGUAAAACAAUUAUAUUACCACCUCCGUCAGAUGCAUGACUUACAAGAAAGGAUGCAGUCACAAUUUUAAACUUUCAAUAUGAAUGUACAAGAAAUAAAUAAAAAGGUUGUGUCGAAAUGAUACUGUUAGAUUUCUAAAAAAAAGUCCAUAUUAUAAAGUCGCACAUUUUUGUCAUUAUCAUAUACGAAUAAACAUAAUGCUCAAUGGUAGAUACCGGACACUGUAUACCUACAACACCAUCUAUUUGCAAAUGGAGCGGUUGUUUCAUGCAUAUAUCCCACGAUUUGCACAAUGUAAAUAAAAAAAUUGAAUAUGCAGUACCAUGUUUGAGAUUAUAUCUUGGUUUUGCAGAGUACUUAGCUACAUACAAUAAUUUUUAUUAUUUGAUGCAAAUAUGUUGGUAAUGCAACAUAAGGAGUAAAUGUGAGUCGCCUGGGAGGUAAUUGAAAUAAUUUUUAUUGUGGAUUAUAGAUUGCUAAAUUAAAUUACUUACUCAAUAAGGAAAAAUAUCUAGGAUGUUUUUGUGGUAAUUGUUCAUUAGAUUUUUCUCACAAAAAAUAUUUCCAGUUACAUAAAGUUUGCUAAUGCGUACAUAGAGAAAAUGGUCAAAAUGCAUACUAUCGUUAAUACCUAAAUGUCAUCUAUUUACACACAUAGAAAUUGUUUCAUUCAUAUCUUAAUUAAAUAUGUUUUAUUGUGUGUUGGAGGAGAGUAAAUGGUAUUACUGACUCAAAUAUUGCAUGAUUUACAAAGGCCCAACUUAAUUCAUAAGCAUACUUUGAUAUAUAAGUGCACGUUGUUUUAGAAGGAAUAAGUACAUGUUUUUUGAUAAAGGAGUUUUUAUUUACUCAAUAAAUGAUAUCAAGGCAACACAAUCGCCAUAGAGUUCACAAACCACCUCAUAACAAGAUGCACAAACCGAUGAAAAUUACUUUUUACAAAAGUGAUGAAAAAAAUCAGCCUAACAAGAAAAGAAAAACAACAUAUUGUGAUAGAGGAUCAAACUGGCUACUAAACCACCAUUCAGGGUGAAUAAACGCCUCCUUGGUUUCCCCUUCCACCUGGGUACAUGCGUCGUAAACAUCUCCAAGUGCACUUACCAAUAAAGUAAAGACCCGGUAUAGAUUUUAGUGUGUAAAUGAGUGUAUAACUUGUGUUUGUGUGUGGGGGGAGGGGGGGGGGUUGAUUUUACCAAAGAUCACAUAAUUUCUACAUAUCCACAUCGACAAGCAUAAUGUUGCCACCCAACUAGGAUUGGGGUCUAUGCUUCAUAUCAAUACCCUGCAGCUAGUUACCAAACAUAUUUAGAAUAGCCCAUCACUGACACAAAUUAGAAGCAACCUGGAUGGCCGGCGAUGCAAACGAGCAACUUACGUUCAAAUAAGAGAUGUUUGGUUGUUUCAUCUUUACAACAUAAACAACAUCACUUCCAUUAAAAUUUUGGUUAGAGAGAUUAUGUAUUUUUUUAAACCACCAAUGAAUACAAAAUUAAAUGUUUAACUUUUAGCAAAAUCUUUAGUUUCCAUAGUAUUUUAUUGUUAAUUAGUGCUAGCAAGAUACAUAGAGGUACCGGUGAAUACCGUGUUAUGUGCAAAACCCAUUGGAACUCGUGCCAAUGUAAGACCCAAAGAAUCAAGUUCCUGUAGUUUUUCUGUAAGAAGACCAUAUAGCUGAAGACUUCCAUAAUUAUGACGCUUUCGUUUCUUACAUUAUGAAACAAUCAUGGGUCUUAUUCCCGAAGAGGAUCAUUGCUAAGUCAUGUAUCGUCCCAAAAUCUAAUUUGUGAACCAUCUUUGGUAGAGAAGGUUUUAAAGCAAAAGAAACAUGCUUCACCUUCAUCAAACCUGCCAAGAAGUUUGAAUCAUGGGGUUUUCACUGAACUUAGAGGUUCUACCAUACACCAUCGUCACUCAAUCGGAUGCUUGAGCUAACAUUUGAUAAGGAGGACAGUGCUUUCUGCGUAAACAUAUAUACUAAGAUGACACUUGUUCGUCGUAAUUUAAUUGGCAUAGUGGCGAGGCUGGCCUUGCUGGGUCAUGUCAAUGGGUAUAUGACCGUUGUUGGUAAAAAAUAUACAAAAGAAAUUUGUUUGAAAAGUUCUGACACUAGACAAUCAAAAGGUAUGAAAAAACUCAAAUAAAGAAUUUUGCAGGUUUCUCAUCAGCUACCCCUACACGGUCUCUCGAUUUCUCAAGUAACCCCAACUUGGGCCCCGUUCGGGUUGGAGGGAGAGAAAACUAUGGGACUCAUUGAAGGCACAGGAUUGCUGUGGUAAAACCAAGGAGUGAAAAAUGGAGGAUAGAAACAAAAGGAUGGUGUUUAGAUCAAAGGGGCGAGAACCAUAGGAAAUUGAUGCUUGGGUUGAUUAAAAAAAUAGAACAAAUGUGUUUUUUCGUACAGGCCACAUGAAAAGAAACAUUGUUUAUUAACUGAGCUUCUCUCUUGCCUCGAGCCUACGCGAGAAAAAAAAGAGAUUGAGGCGGAUAUUUCUUUUCCUCUGGAAUCGUGGGUAUAGGCCCAUCAUUCCUUAGAAGUACUGUUCCCAUUUCCUGCGUUCCGAACGCAUCGACGGAGAGAAAAACUACAGGAAUUGAUUCUUUUGCUUUUUCCUGUAAGCCGAGCGGAGCCUCGGUAUUUGUGCACGUAUGCAAUUUCCAGGUGUGGUCAAAGUCUGUUCUUUGUUAGGGUAAAACUAUUCUCGCUGCCUCUCAUUCGCUAUAUAGGUGUGUACAUAACUGAUCAAGCAACACAAGAGAGGUCAUGCAUUGCAUUUCUUGCUCAUGUAAUUGCGUAGGAGAAAUGCAUUACGACUAUAUAGCAUAGAGUCGAGUGUGGUAGGUGAGAUCCAGAGUGGAAUGUAACUCACCAAUAAAGUGCAUCGGUAGGAAUUACUAGUAUCACAUGUAUGAAGAAUAAUGACGUUGACUAAUUGACCGGGUGAUUAAAAAAUCAACAUUUGAAGCUUAAUUGGUUGGAUCUCGAAAUGUUUUUUUUUUGCGGGGGGUAUCUCGAAAUCCCUGUUCGUAGACUUGACUAGCAAACGGGAUAUGCAAUACGCAUGCUAUAAUAUUAUACUGAAAUAUUUAACCACCUUUCAAUUAUUGAAAUCAUGUAUACAUAUUGGCAUACGGAAAUUUAGAAAUCAACGUGGCACUAGCAGCUAGUGCUGUCAGUGAACAAAACACAGACGGGGCCAUCAAAUUAGCUAAGCCUUAACUCAUCCUCUUUAAGGUCUACAGAGUUUUCUUUCCAACCACGCUUAGUGUAGAUAGAUGGAUAGUGGCGAAAACGUAUUCCCAAUGUUUUCAACAGGGAGAGCUUUGUGUAGCGAAGAGACAACCAAAUAGGGCACAAAUGUUUAUCGUGACCGACAUCUAAGACCAUAAGCAGGAGUAAGGGUUGCCUUGAUAGCACUAAGCACAUAAGAGUUUGGUUGAAUCGUUAUCUGAAUAGAUGCAAAGGUGAGAAAGCAGACCGACUUUCAGUUCAGUUCACUGCAACAGUUCUGAGGUUGGCCCUCAGGUCACCGUAAUUGAAGUGGGCAUCCCUGGACCCUGGGGCGUGUGCUACACAGUUCGCUCUCCAGAAAAGCUGCGACACCAACAGCUCCAGCUAGUGCUGUAGGUGAACACAAACAAUCGAGUCACCAAAUAAGCAGCUAGCCAAGAAAUACAAGGCAACCGAAUUUGGAGAAAAUUGUGAAGCAGCACUUUGAAAGAGACGUAUCUCCCAGAGAUACCCAGCAGAAAGAGCAUUGUUUAGCGCAGACACGGGUCACAAUUAGCAAGCCCUUCUUAACCUAGCAUGAAAUUAAUGGUAUGCUACUUCUGAUACAUUUCUACACCUUGAAGAUAAACAUUAGCGGGCAAAGCAAUGCUGGGAGCGGCUCGAAACAGAAGACGAGAAAAAACAUAGUUCCAAGAAGCUCAAAUAAAGCAGCUUGUAGAGUUUCUCGUCAAGGGAGUGAGAAUACGGUUCUACAGUUUUACCAUCACAAGAGUUCAUCACCAUGUCUCCAAGGUGGUAGUCCAUGGAUGAAGAAUUGAGUUGCACAAACCAACAGAAAGCUAUACAAAAUUACGGCACCACUGUCACACUUUAUUCGACUUUUUACUGUCAAAGUUGCAUCAGGG